UGACCAGCAAGAACGACAUGACCACUAG
rnacentral:piRNA from 1 species